GACGAACGCUGGCGGCGCGCUUAACACAUGCAAGUCGAACGGAAAGGCCUGCUUUCCCUUGUGGAUUGCGGGUACUCGAGUGGCGAACGGGUGAGUAACACGUGAGUGAUCUGCCCCCAACUUGGGUAUAAGCCUGGGAAACUGGGUCUAAUUCCCGAUAGGACUGCAGGGUGGUGCCUGUGGUGGAAAACGAUUUUCUAGUGGUUGGGGAUGAGCUCGCGGCCUAUCAGCUUGUUGGUGGGGUAAUGGCCUACCAAGGCGGCGACGGGUAGCCGGCCUGAGAGGGUGGACGGCGACAUUGGGACUGAGAUACGGCCCAGACUCCUACGGGAGGCAGCAGUGGGGAAUAUUACACAAUGGGCGGAAGCCUGAUGCAGCGACGCCGCGUGGGGGAUGACGGCCUUCGGGUUGUAAACUCCUUUCGACCGCGAGGAAGCCACCUGGUUGGAAGGGUGGUGACGGUAGUGGUAGAAGAAGCACCGGCUAACUACGUG
rnacentral:rRNA from 1 species